rnacentral:rRNA from 1 species
AUUGAACGCUGGCGGCAUGCCUUACACAUGCAAGUCGAACGGUAACGGGUCCUUCGGGAUGCCGACGAGUGGCGAACGGGUGAGUAAUAUAUCGGAACGUGCCCAGUAGUGGGGGAUAACUGCUCGAAAGAGCAGCUAAUACCGCAUACGACCUGAGGGUGAAAGGGGGGGAUCGCAAGACCUCUCGCCAUUGGAGCGGCCGAUAUCAGAUUAGCUAGGUGGUGGGGUAAAGGCCUACCAAGGCAACGAUCUGUAGUUGGUCUGAGAGGACGACCAGCCACACUGGGACUGAGACACGGCCCAGACUCCUACGGGAGGCAGAAGUGGGGAAUUUUGGACAAUGGGCGCAAGCCUGAUCCAGCAAUGCCGCGUGCAGGAAGAAGGCCUUCGGGUUGUAAACUGCUUUUGUCAGGGAAGAAAUCUUCUGGGCUAAUACCCCGGGAGGAUGGCGGUACCUGAAGAAUAAGCACCGGCUAACUACGUGCCAGCCGCCGCCGUAA